rnacentral:rRNA from 1 species
CCCUACGGGGGGCAGCAGUGAGGAAUAUUGGUCAAUGGGCGAGAGCCUGAACCAGCCAUGCCGCGUGCAGGAAGACGGUCCUAUGGAUUGUAAACUGCUUUUAUUUGGGAAUAAACUCCGGUACGUGUACCGGCCUGAAGGUACCAAAUGAAUAAGCACCGGCUAACUCCGUGCCAGCAGCCGCGGUAAUACGGAGGGUGCAAGCGUUAUCCGGAAUCAUUGGGUUUAAAGGGUCCGCAGGCGGUCUUAUAAGUCAGUGGUGAAAGCCUACAGCUCAACUGUAGAACUGCCAUUGAUACUGUAAGACUUGAAUUCGAUCGAAGUGGGCGGAAUAUGACAUGUAGCGGUGAAAUGCUUAGAUAUGUCAUAGAACACCGAUAGCGAAGGCAGCUCACUAGGUCUGGAUUGACGCUCAGGGACGAAAGCGUGGGGAGCAAACAGGAUUAGAUACCCGCGUAGUCCG